GUAAGGAAUAUUGGACAAUGGACGCAAGUCUGAUCCAGCCAUGCCGCGUGAAGGAUUAAGGUCCUCUGGAUUGUAAACUUCUUUUAUAAGGGACGAAAAAAGGCUUUUCUAAGUCGUCUGACGGUACCUUAUGAAUAAGCACCGGCUAACUCCGUGCCAGCAGCCGCGGUAAUACGGAGGGUGCAAGCGUUAUCCGGAUUCACUGGGUUUAAAGGGUGCGUAGACGGGCAGGUAAGUCAGUGGUGAAAUCCUAGAGCUUAACUCUAGAACUGCCAUUGAUACUAUCGGUCUUGAAUAUUGUGGAGGUAAGCGGAAGAUGUCAUGUAGCGGUGAACUGCUUAGAUAUGACAUAGAACACCUAUUGCGAAGGCAGCUUACUACGCAUAUAUUGACGCUGAGGCACGAAAGCGUGGGGAUCAAACAGGAUUAGAAACCCCGGUAGUCC
rnacentral:rRNA from 1 species